UGGCCAUAUCCCAUUUUAACAUCGGUUCUCGUACGAUCACCGCGGUUAAGCAAUGUCGAGCCUGGUUAAUACCUAGAUGGGUGACCGCCUGGGAAUACCAGUUUCUGU